rnacentral:rRNA from 1 species
CGUGUAGGCGGCUUGAUAAGUCAGAUGUGAAAGCCCUGGGCUUAACCCAGGAAGUGCAUUUGAAACUGUCUUGCUGGAGUAAGGGAGGGGGAAGUGGAAUUCCUGGUGUAGAGGUGAAAUUCGUAGAUAUCAGGAGGAACACCGGUGGCGAAGGCGACUUCCUGGCCCUAUACUGACGCUGAGACGCGAGAGCGUGGGUAGCAAACA